rnacentral:rRNA from 1 species
GGCGGACGGGUGCGUAACACGUGGAUAAUCUGCCCUGUGGCGGGGGACAACAGUUCGAAAGGACUGCUAAUACCGCAUAAGUCCUGAGAGACUUAGGGAUCUCAGGAGAAAGGGGGCGCCCGCAAGGGGCUCUCACCACAGGAUGAGUCCGCGGCCCAUCAGCUAGUUGGCGGGGUAACAGCCCACCAAGGCGAAGACGGGUAGCUGGUCUGAGAGGAUGAUCAGCCACACUGGGACUGAGACACGGCCCAGACUCCUACGGGAGGCAGCAGUGGGGAAUAUUGGACAAUGGGCGAAAGCCUGAUCCAGCCAUGCCGCGUGAGUGAUGAAGGCCUUCGGGUCGUAAAGCUCUGUGGGGAGGGACGAAAACCCGGUGACUAAUACUCCCCGGGAUUGACGGUACCUCCUUAGCAAGCACCGGCUAACUCCGUGCCAGCCGCCGCGG